rnacentral:rRNA from 1 species
AUUGAACGCUGGCGGCAGGCCUAACACAUGCAAGUCGAGCGGAGCGGCGGCCGGGUGAGUAAUGCCUAGGACUCUGCCUGGUAGUGGUUUAUACCGUCCGGAACUGUGCGCUAUACCGCAUACUAUCAGAUGAUCCUAGGUCGGAUUAGCUAGUUGGUGGGGUGAGGUACUACCAAGGCGACGAUCCGCAACUGGUCUGAGGGGAUGAUCAGUCACACUGGAACUGAGACGCGGCCCAGACUCCAACGGGAGGCAGCAGAGGGGAAUGUUGGACAAUGGGAGAAAGCCUGAUCCAACCAAGCCGCGUGUGUGAAGAAGGUCUUCGGAUUGUAAAGCACUUUAAGUUGGGAGGCGGUACCAACAGAAUAAGCACCGGCUAACUUCGUGCCAGCAGCCGCGGUAAUAC